rnacentral:lncRNA from 1 species
CCCGAUUGGCCGCCGAGGAUGGACCGAUUCCGCGUGGGUCUGGGCUGGUCCGAGCCUGACUGAGUUCCCCGGGUGUGCGGGUUUGCCUGUGGGCUUGGAUUAGGGCCCGUGUGCCAUGGCCAAGUGAUUGUGAAAGAAAUUCAAAGUAACCGAGGAAGCAUAAAAAAUAAAUUUGCAAGACUCAAAGACACAGAACCCAAACCUCAGAGAUCCAUCUAAACCUUAUAUAAUAUGGAAAUUUUCUGCUUGCUAUAAAAAGCUGGAAUCGGUUGUUUCAUUGACCUCUUUUACCUACCUCAUGGCUAGGAUGAGACUUUUAUACAAAUGCUUGGCAGAGAAUCAAGUAACAGGAUACAGUUUGCUCUUAAAAUUUUGAGAAAAGCAAACUAAGCUGCUAAAACAGGAGGUAAGUGAUAAAAAUUUGU